rnacentral:rRNA from 1 species
CCUACGGGGUGCUGCAGUGGGGGAUAUUGCACAAUGGGGGGAACCCUGAUGCAGCGACGCCGCGUGGGUGAAGAAGCGCCUCGGCGCGUAAAGCCCUGUCAGCAGGGAAGAAAAUGACGGUACCUGAAGAAGAAGCCCCGGCUAACUACGUGCCAGCAGCCGCGGGAAUACGUAGGGGGCAAGCGUUAUCCGGAUUUACUGGGUGUAAAGGGGGCGCAGACGGCGAUGCAAGCCAGGAGUGAAAGCCCGGGGCCCAACCCCGGGACUGCUCUUGUAACUGCGUGGCUGGAGUGCAGGAGGGGCAGGCGGAAUUCCUGGUGGAGCGGUGAAAUGCGUAGAUAUCAGGAGGAACACCGGUGGCGAAGGCGGCCUGCUGGACUGCAACUGACGUUGAGGCGCGAAAGCGUGGGGAGCAAACAGGAUUAGAUACCCCGGUAGUC